AGAGACAGGAACGAGCAAUACGUAGCUAGCUAUCUAGCUACACCUGUCCUUGCAGAAACCUUGUUGUUCACAUAUUCACAACAUGUUCAAGGAAGCAGUGCAAACCUUGACAUGGUGCAGAAGCCAUUUAGUCAAUAAUCUAACAGCCAAACUAGCUAAAUUAAACUGGGCUGGCUAGUAAGAUAGAUAACAAGUAGCUAUUCCAAGUCAGCUAGGAUUGAGAUGUGUCUGCUAGCUAUCUAAAGCUGAAGUCGAGUUUUAUUUUCCUGACAUUGUCAUAGAUUUUAAUACAACUCCUCUUUUUAGGUAACGUUAUAGAUAUUCACGUAUUCAAAUGUUACUGGACUACUGGACAUACCAUAUUUUCCAGAAUACAUUGACAAGGAUCACUUUAGCUACAACAGAACAGAAACGUCAGGCUACGGGUCCUAUUGGAGGGCCCCUGAUAUCCGUAAGCUAACAUUGCCUUUUGGAAUCCCUGCUACUGUGGCUGAGCUUGGCACAAUUGUGCAAGACAUUUCAGCUUCAAAAAUAAUUUGUUCUACAAUACAUGGAGAGUGCAUAUGGAGAUCAGUUAUUUUCUUUGCUUGAUACUGAAGACCUAAAGGAUAAAGACACCAUCAAAGUGGUUGACCUUGACGGCCCACCUCUUAUUACUUUAAAUGUACAAGACCUCAAUAACAUCUCCACAGAUACAUCAGAUGAGAGGUGCUGCCUUGGAUCACGUGAUACUGUGAUAUUGUCCUCUCCAGAAAGUACCUCUUCCCAACGCUCCAGUCCGUGGCCAUCUGAGUUUGAAGUUCCUCGCUUUGCUUAUGAUACAGAGCUCAUUCUUGAGGCAGCUAAUGAAGCACACAUGAAGGAUGGAACACUACUCAACAAUCUGCCUGUGAAAUCAGACAUCCUGGAAAAACUGUCUGAAAGGAUCUUCCAGUUUACAGCCUAUCCGUCAAGUCUACAAAUUUGUCAGGUUGCAGAAGCUUUGGUAAAAAAGUACCCAUGUCUUAGAGCUCGGGUCCUUCUCCGGCGUAUACGGAUGGCAAACCAGCCUAAAGUACAAGAUGGGCAAUUACAGAUCGAAACUGAGAGGAAUUGGUUGCCUAGAACUGGAAGUGAACUCUGUCAAGAGAAAAUCACCAGAGGACAAGCCCGUUGCCAAGAACAUAAACAAAACAAAGAAGGCGGAGAUAAAUUACCUCCCACCCCACCCUGCUGGAGAAACAGAUGAGACCCUGGAGAGGGAGCCAAUGGGGCUACUGGGAGAAGUACAAAUACGUGACAACCACAACAUUGUGAGUGCCAAAAUGGCAAAGACCUUCUCAUAUCGAAGACAAGAUGUCAUUCAGGCCCUUCCUGUAAAGGACUUCAAAGAUAGAUGGCCAGCCUUGUUUGAACCCAUUCAGAUUAAGGAAGACUUCAGAAGAAUUACAACUGUUGCUCUUGAGUCCACCUUUAUCCAGAAGCUGGGCGAAUAUACACCAAAACUAUUGGACUUGUUUAAGACAAAAGGAGGUGCUGUAAAGGAGGACAUGCAGAAAAUCCUUGAAGUUCUGUAUGGGGUGUUCACAGUAACACUUUCACAAUAGUAUAUAGGUUGUACUGUGUAUUUAUUUGCCGGUAUUAAAUGCAAUUAUUUGUAUAACAUCAUAUUACAGUGCAACACCAGCCAGGAAAGAAGAGACAGUGUAAUCCGUGGCCUGAUCAAAUACCUCGGUGAGAGGGUUGAAGAACUUAUCACAGAAAACAAGGUAAAGGUUUUUAGUUUUGUAUCCUUAUUUAUCUCUAAAUGAGAUCUUCCCUCUCUCUCCUCUCAAGUUGCACAGUUAAUCUAGUAGCCUAGUCUGUUAUUUCUUAUUUUUUUCACUCCGGAUGCUGACGACACCAUGAUCCCAGAGAACCUUGUUCAGCAUGUGAUGAAGGUGUUCACUGUGAAGGAUCUGUACCAGAAUAUAGAGCAUGGGAUCUGCACCAGAAUAUAGAGCAUGGGAUCUGCAUCGAAGGAGCAGAGGUCCUGGCUGGUAUUCGCAGUGUUACACAGUCAUGUACCUUGCUUAUGGGCCUCAUCUAUGGCUUAAAUCUAAAGUACCCCAAAAAACUGAAGUAUACCUUUGAGGUGUUCCAAAAACUAUUCUUGGAACUUGUGAUCUCAGGACCUCCCCACGCGUCCAAGCUCUAAAGAUGAAGUUACUUGUUUUCAGAGAUAUCUAAAGAUACCUAUGAGAACUCUCAAAGGGCCACUCACAAACUAAACUAAAACUUUCAGUAAGCUGAAAAGCUAGUUGCUAGGUGGUAUAGGAGCUACAGUUCACAUGAUGCUCUUUGUCAGGUGAAGUCAUAAAAGACAUUGUCAAUUCCUGUUUAAAAAAAAACAGCUUUGUUUUAAAACUUAGUCCAUAUGCACUAGUGGAUAUCCAUAUGGGCUUCACUAGUGCAUAUGGAGUCAGGUUUAAGGGAGAAUUUGGCAUAUAUUUUGUAACAAUAUGUGCAAUGUAUGUUUUGAAAACCCAUGUUUUGAUUAAUCUAAAACCGUUUGAAUGAGGUUGUAUUUGAGCUCAAGUUCAUAUUGUGCUUUGUGUAAAGUCUAUUAAGACAAAUCGUUAAUUUAUGUUUCUGUUAAAAUAUUUCUUUGUUGUUAAGGGGCACAUAGACCACCAGAAAUGUUUUGCCAAACUGUUCAAGAUGUGAGGUCAAAGUGCUAAUCCCAAACUAUCACCUAAACUUUAUGCAGUUGUGAAGAUUUAAAAGUAUUUAUAGUCAGGUGCAAGCUAUCUGGAUGUAACUUUACCUAAUGAGGCAAGGUGUAGUUAUACUCAGAAUGCUUACAGAUGACAAAAUAUGAUUGCCUAAAGAGUAGGGUUUAAGGGACAAUUUGAGAUUGAAGUUUGAAGAAAUUAUAAAAUGAUAACAUUUAUUUUAUUCAAAAUAAAGGUGUGGAAGUUUGAAGUUGAACACUGUUGUUUCUUUUGCAUAUUCCCUUAUGUAGAAAUAAUAAUUUUUUUGUAAAUUAGUAUAUUGAGGUAACUAUUUGCAUCAGAUUUUUAAGUAUAGUUUUGAGUAUAUAUUUGAGUAGUAGGAACCCAAUUUAAAUACAUUUUACUAACCUGAGUACCAUAAGUAACUGAGCAAAAUACAUUUGUUGAUAAAACAUAGAAUAUCAAUUACGAUACUGAGUAAAUUCAGGAAAUUAAACGUACAAUAUUAGUUAUGUAACUGAUUACAUUAAGUAUAUUAGACUUAUAACAUUAGUUCUGGGACUUGAAGGAUUUAAGCAGGUCAACAACAAAAAUGUUCUGAACCUGAUAAAAUUAAGUUGAAUGAAAGGAAUUUGAGAUCCAGUUAGUAGAUUGCACUUCAUAUAUUUGAGUUUGUAAUACACUUAAAGCGAAGUGUAUUAUACUUAAAAUAUCCUCCUUGUUGGAUUUACUUAAAAAGCUGAUGCAAAAUGUUUUAAGUAAAAGGGGCACUAUUUUUUACAGUGAAUGUUUGUAUCAUGUUUAUGUGCUGCUACCAUGCUGUGUUGUGUUGCUGCCUUGUUAUGUUGUUGUUUUAGGUGUCUCUCUUGUUGUGAUGUGUUUUUGUCCUAUAUCUAUAUUGCAUUAAUUUUUUAAAAUCCCAGGCCCUGUCCCCGCAGUAGGCAUUUUGUCUUUUGGUUUGCCGUCAUUGUAAAUAAGAAUUUGUUCUUAACUGACUUGCCUAGUUAAAUAAAUAAAAUCCUCAGUUGAUGAGAAACCUUACGAUGGCAAAAAACAAUUCUAUACAUUUUGCUUUCAAUUGUUUGGUUUUGAUUUCAACAUCCAUUAUUUCACUGUCUUUGAAAAUAUCCUGUUUACAUUUUCAACUUUACUUUUCUUGUUUACAAUUUAUUUUAUUUGAAAUUCAAUACAUAUUGUGUGAAAUUGGCCCCAUUACCCCCAUACUAUAUACCUGUUUUCAAAACAUUCAGUACUCUCAUAACAUUCACGUGACGUACUGGCAAUCAAGCUUCUUUCCAGGACCGCUGAAAGAUGCUCUCUUCCCUUCUUCUCUAGACUCUUUUACCACCGGCCAAAGUUUUUUCCCUAGCAGCAGCAUUUACAUUUUUUUUAUACAUAAUACAAAAUUAUCAACGACUUACAAUUUUCAUAUAACUAGGCAAGUCAGUAAAGAACAAAUUCUUAUUUACAAUGACAGCCUACCAUUCUGCCCCUGCCUUGUUCAGAGGAAGAACGACAGAUUUUUUAAUUGUCAGCUCGGGGAUUCAAUCCAGCAAACUUUCAGUUACUGGCCCAACGCUCUAACCACUAGGCUACCUGCCACCCCUACAUUGCUACAUCAAACAUGUAUAACAAAACAAAACACAGGUAUAAAACAAGAAAAUACUACAUACAAAAAAAUAUAUAUAAAUAAUAAUACAAAUUCUAGUGCAAUUGUAUUCACUCUGAAAUAACGUCUUUACAAGAUGAUUAAAAUCAAUCCCAAAUAUUUGUAAUUUGGGUAUAGCAUUCUGGAAUUUUUGUUUGUGUAUAAAGUAUUUGGCAACAAGAAUAAAAAAUUCA